GCUGGGCGCGGUGGCUCACGCCUGUAAUCCCAGCACUUUGGAGGCCGAGGUGGGUGGAUCACCUGAGGUCAGGAGUUCGAGACCAGCCUGGCCAACAUGGUGAAACCCUGUCUCUA
ensembl:misc_RNA Metazoa_SRP Metazoan signal recognition particle RNA